CUCUUUUCACUCAGCCUCUCCGCUUUCGCUCCCCAGCAAAUCUUCGUUCUCUUAUGCUUUUUAAUUGCCGAAGACGAGCUUCUCCUCCCGAUUUUCCACUGUUCCCUUUUUAUCAGAUCCCCAUUUCUGUUUCUCGCCUUCCUCACGCCUCCGCCUCGUAUCUCUCUUCUGCCAUCAACAACUCCAUACGCCACGCUUCAUCUCGU
rnacentral:lncRNA from 1 species